GCCCGAGUGGCGAAAUCCGGAAUACGCGUCGGCCCUAGGAGCCGAUGGGGGUAAUACCUCGUGUGGGUUCGAGUCCCACCUCGGGCA
rfam:Chloroflexi bacterium 13_1_40CM_4_69_19 13_1_40cm_4_scaffold_43066, whole genome shotgun sequence.